CACCUCUCCAGCACUCGCCAUGUCCUUAACUGACUUCACUAACAACCCACCUCCUCCUUCCUCACUGAGGCAAAGGAAUUGAUUUUUGCACUGCUAAAAAGCUCCAAUGCACACAAUUUUCUCACAUGCCGCCAGUACGGACCAUACUCCGUAAAUGCAACGCCCUUAGCCCCGUAGCUCAGGUAUUCAAAGGCCUGGAGUUUUGGACGGCUAGCAAACACAACAUCAUGGGUUUUCAUGACUAGCUUGGCGGCUUCAGGCGACGACACUACGAUAGUUGGAACACACCCCAGUCGCAUAAACAUGAUAGGCCCAUACUUCUUGGCCAAGCGGCUAAGGUUACGGUGAGGCAGGCUCCCCAACAUGUGGAGGCUACCAAUAAUUGGUAAACCCCAAGGUCCCGGUGGCAGUUUCCGGUAGCCUGCCCGGAGUUUUAGGUGUGAUAAAGUGACCCACAUGGCUCCAAGGAUGACUAGGAGAAUAGCAACGGUGAAAAGAGCCAUUGGUACUGAUAAUGGGAAAGUAGAGUUUGAGAUAUGAGAAGUGAUGAUAGAAGGCUACCCAUAUAUAUAGAUAUUAUAUUGCCACACAUUAUUGUAGGGUGGAUAUAUAUGGUAUUGUGAUGGGACAAGGUUACCGAAAAACUUGGGAAGAAUACAAUGAAUAAAGCUCCAUCAACCAAUGUUUUGCAAAUGAACAUGUGUCGCGUUUCUCUGCUUUUGAUAGGACAGAACAUAGGAAAGUAACGUACAAAUAUGGACCACAUUAAAGAAGACAUUGAAAGUAAUCAUCAUAUUUACGAUCUUCAACACAUGGAAAUGAAACUAGUGUUUAUUACUUUUAAGUAUUAAAUUAUUUUUUUUUUUUUACUUUUAUUAAGUACUUAAAAAAAUCACAAAUAGUUUAUUCGUAUUAUUAUAUAUUUUUUAUUUUAUUUUACUUAUGUUGUAGAAUUUUCACAAAAUUUGAACGUACAAAUUUCUGACAAGUACUCAAUCAACGGUUGUCGUCAAUUUCUGGCAAGUACUCAAUCAACGGUUGUCGUCAAUCUUUGUGAUAAAAAAAAAUAGUUUUAUCAUUUUCUAAAUUAUGAUCAAAGUGAAAAAAAUAAAUCAAUAAAUAAAAAAUAAAAUAAAUAUAUAUAAUUCUAUGCCUACUUAGGAUAGGAAAAGAAAAAUAUUAAGUUUUGGAUUUGGUUUGAACUCUUCAAACAAGAGGAUUAUCCAGAUUAUCCUUAUAAGCGUGUUAAUAACACUAAGAGCACUGAUAAAAUUAAGUCCUUUGAAUUUUCUAAGGAAUUCCAGGAAAAUCCCCAAAUCAACCAGGCUUUUGUUGAUAGGAUUAAUCAGAAGAUUAAGGAUAAUCUUGUUGCCCCUUUGACUGUUCAGCCUCAUAAGAGAAUCAAUAUGGUUAAAGGUGAUAUUAGUUCAGAAGAAGAAGCUGAUGAACUAAUUAAAAUGUUUGAGGAACCCCAUAAUCAAAUAAUCAUGGCAUAAUUCCUGUUUUCAUUGCAUAUGACCUUGUCCUGGGUGUCUAUGGUAUCAGAGCCAUCGGGAAGGGAAGUUGGAUUUGUUUUGGGUGUUUUGGCCUAUCCUAGGAUAGGUAGCAGUGUGCCUAGGAGCGCGAGCCUUGCCGGUUGAGCCGUUGUUAGCCGUGGAUAGGCGUUUGUUAGGUUGUAAGAGGGUUGGGGUGACGUCUCAUAAGGUUUGUCAAUCUGCUAUUAGGCUCUAGAUCAAAACCCUAAAAUGAGUUCAAUUUUCAGAACCAUGUCUAGGAGAUCUAGUGAUUCUCAAGAUACUGUUGUAAACAGUGAAGAGAUCAAUUAUCCUAAGAUCCAAAAUGAUUUAGAUGAUUGGAAGUUACCCAAGGUGUUUAAUCAAGAAAUUUAUAAGAAAUGAACCUUUAAGUUCUUCACAGAUUAUACCAUCAAGACCUCUGAAAUGUCAGUCAGCUUAGAACAAGACGACCAAGUCAUAAGACUUCUAGAUAACAGAUCCAUUGAAAAGCAUAAGAGAAAUGGCUAUAAUUUCAUACACUUUGGUAUGAUUCAAGUAGCAGCUAAACCCUUGACAAGAUUAGGUUUAAACACCUCUAUUGUCAUGUGUUUAAGGGAUAAUAGGCAUCUCGAAUAUUGAGAUUCUAUUAUAGGCGCAGUCCAAGCUGGACUGAAUGAUGACCCAGUUUAUUUCCAGUGCUAUCCUAACUUCACAGUUAGAAUAAGAGAUGCAGACAUCUUAGAUUUCGUUGUCCUACAUAUUAAGACCCAUGGCUUUAAGAUCAAACCAGGAAACAGUCCUGUUUCAAUCAUAACCAGGUUUGCCUAUAAGAGCAUGAACACAAGCGUUGGAUCUGGGGCUCUUUGCACCAGUCCUAAGGGUGAGACCACUUACUUUCACUCAGAUAUGCUAGAUAAGUCAGAUUUCAUCAUCCCCAAGAAGAUCUUGUGGAAAGAUGUUGAGUUUCCUGAAAAUUGGCAUUUUGCUAAUGCUGUUCCAGCCAUUGCACAUCGAUCUGAAAGUAUUGAACAAAUUGUUCAAUAUCCUGAUGGAGGAGGAGAACUAGUUUUCUCCAACUCUUUCAGACAUUCUAGCAGCCCUAGAGUUUCUGUUUAUGAACCCUCUAGAGCUUCAAGCUCUUCCAUCCCAGUUAGAACCACUAGGGAAGAAGAAGGUUCCAACUCAGGAAAUCUUAAGAAUAUUAAGCUAACAGGUGUUAGAAGUCACACCAAUGUGACUAGACCAUUUUACCUGAGGAAAAUGAGUCUACUCAGGAAUCCCAACAGGAUGAGUCCCCUAUAAUGUCUCCUACCUAUUCCCAGAUGAUUAACAUAAUAAGCCUAAGUGAUGAGGACUUUGAGAUCAACAAGGAUCUCUUAAGAAAAGACUUCUAUUCUGAUGACAAUAAGCAAAGAAAUGAUUGGUUCUUUAGCACUAUCCCUAAAGUCAUUAGAGCCAUUCACCAAGAAGAAUUCUAUGCCUACUUAGGACAGGAAACGAAAAAUAUUAAGUUUUGGAUUUGGUUUGAACUCUUCAAACAAGAGGAUUAUCCAGAUUAUCCUUAUAAGCGUGUUAAUAACACUAAGAGCACUGAUAAAAUUAAGUCCUUUGAAUUUUCUAAGGAAUUCCAGGGAAAUCCUCAAAUCAACCAGGCUUUUGUUGAUAGGAUUAAUCAGAAGAUUAAGGAUAAUCUUGUUGCCCCUUUGACUGUUCAGCCUCAUAAGAGAAUCAGUUCAUGAUAAGCUUAAAACCGGCCAUGAUAGGCGGUACAAGAAUAAAAAACAUAAAAUUAAAAUCAAAGCUUAAUUAAAACCAUCCAUGUAGGAGGUACAAGAACAUAAAAUGAAAUGAAAACAAAACUUAAAAAAAACCAUCCAUAUAGGAGGUAAUCAAAACAUAUUUAUAUUAUACAUAAGGAGAAAUAUCUUACAAUGGACAAGGGUAGGAAAGCUUAGAGAAAGCUUGAAAGCUUGAAGGGCUUACAUGAUGAGAGAGAAAGAAGAGAGAAGGGAGAGCAUAAACUUGGGAGAGGUUUCAGAUCUAAAAUUAUGAGUGCUUACAAAUGGAGAUCAAGUCUCCUUAAAUAGGCAAAAAGAUGAAUAGUAACCUCGUGCAUGAAUAGUGAAUAGUGAAUAGUAAAAUUCAUUUUUCCACCGAAUUCCACCGAAAAAACCUAUUUUCGGUUGAGAAGACUUCUGACAGGAUUCUUUAGACUGUGUAGUCACAUGCUUGCUGCUUUUGGUGCAGAAACUGUAAAGCUUGUAAAAUAUUCUUGAUGGAAGACAUAAGGCUGAUGAUUACUUAGAUCUUCUUAUUGGAGGAAGGAUUCCUUCAUAGUCAUCACCAUUGUCUGGAAGGUAGCUUGUUGAAUCAUCAGACUCUGCAUAAGAAUUUUCUUGGGAGAAGCUUGAGUUUCCUUCUUCAAGGAUUUUCUGGAAAUCUUGAGGGGUCUUAGCUGCUGCGAGCAUGGCUUGUAACUGUUGCUUUUUGAGGAGAAAUUGAGACAUAUCAUCACUGACUGAGACUUGUGUGGGGUUCUUGAGGAAAUACUGUUUGACUGCAUCAAUAGAUGCAUCAUUUUUCAAGGCAUCCCACCAUUUAGUUUUAAAAGUCCUUCCCAGAGAUGGAAAGGCUGCUGAUUCGUUUUAAUGAUAAUAUAGUCCCACUGGACUAUCCAAGCAAGGCCAAAUUUGCUGAAAAAGAAUAGUAAAGGGGGAAAAGCUGAAAGUUCUCUAGGGAUAUCAAAAGAACUUCUGAAUAGCUCAAAGCCAUCUAGGAUGGGCUUAGGAAGAAUCUUAAUAGUCGAACCAUAAUAAGUCCACCAACUGUAGAACCAAAAUAGGAAAGAGGAAAGCUGAUUCUUAGAUGGAAAAUAGAACAUCCAUGAAUGAUGGAAGUCCCUAUUCUGGAUCAGAAAAGCAUUAAACCAUGCUCUCUGAUAAUCCCAAUAAUUAAAAAACCUUGGCUUUGAUGGUUCAAAAAAUUCCCUUGAAAGAUUAGGAUUUCCACCCCAUUGCUUGACAGUAAGAAUCUUAUAGAUAUGGCAGGUGGAGAAUGCCAAACCCAUAUUGCUGAAUUUGUCAGCAUUAUGCUUAAUUUUAACAUAACCAGUUUCUGUAAGGACUGCUUCAUCAAACUCUCUUGUUUUUAAAAUAUCACCAGAGGGAUAAUGAAAAUUUUCUUGAAAAGCUUUUGCAGUAAUUUCUCUGGGGUUUUCAGAGAAAAAUUCUCUUUCAAUAACCAAAAGAGGUUGAUUUAAAUCAUUUUGCCAAUAUCUUGAUUUUGUUGAAAGAGGUGUGGGGUUGGCAGCCACCACAAUUUGCUUGUUUGAAAAAGAAGAGCUUGAUGCUAAUUCCUUUUGAGAGGGAUUAACCUUAGUGACUUGCUUGAAGGUCUGGGACCCUGAAAUGGCUGGGUACUGGGUGGCCUUGACUGGAUUAGCUGGAUCAGAAUGAUCAUAGUACAGGGUCAUCAUCUUGUUAGGCAUAGGGUUAGAAGAAUGAAGCCUUGCUUCUUCUUCCUCAACUUGUUGGCUCCAUAGCAUUUUAUGGGGAAAAGGAGCUUGACUGGGUUGGGUUUUCUGGUUAGGAGCUUGGGUAUUCUUUUUAGGGGCCAUGGUCUCGUGAACCCUGCAAAUUCCAUGAGUUGAGUGAUUAGGAAUGGAAUUUUCUCCUUUAAUAAACUUAAUUUGAAAAUUAGGGUUUAAAAUAAUCCAAUCAGUUAAAUUAUACUUAAAAGUUAUAUACUUAAUUGUUUUCUUAGCUGUGAAAACAACUUUUAAAAUUCCUUGGUUCAAAAUAUCAGUUUGAAAUUUUGAAAUGCAUAAAGGAAUGCUUAAAAUAUCAUUUAUAAUGAGAUUAUGAAUGAAUUGGGUACCUAAUAUCUUAGGUGGAUCAUCUAUUCUAACAAGAUUAAUUUCUUGAUCACAAAGAGUGAUGUUUUCACCAGGAUUAGCAAAUUCAAAAAGAAUUUCCUUAUCAAAAAGCUUUGUUCUUAUACCUUGGUUAUCUACCCACAAGAGAUAAAUAAAGCUUAAGAAGGGUAUUCCUAGAAGGGCUUUUUCCUUAAGAUCCUUAACAAGGAUAAAGGUUUGCUUAAUACAGAUGUCAUGAUUACGGAUAUAAACAUCUGUUAAUUUAUACUUAAUAGCAAGUCUUUUGUCAUUGGCUCCAAAUAGAGACUGACUAGUCUCUUCACAUAAAGGAAUAGGUACAAGACCUUCUUGAAGGCAAUUUUCAGCUGCUCUUGAAUCAAUCAAAGCAAUAAUAUCAAGGACAAAUUUAUCUUUGACUACUAUAGUAAGGAAGACUUCCCACCUCUGGAAGAUAACCCUACUCACAGUAUUCAAAAAAGUAUCUGUCUCAUUAUCAUUAACAUGAGAAGAUUCUGAAAUAUCCAUAUGGUUUCUUUGGUUGACAAUUCUAUUGAUUUGUUCUUGGAUAUCAGAAAGACCUAAACCUAUGAAUUGUCUUAAUUCCUUUAUCUCAUUUUUAUACUGCCUAACUUCAUCAUGAAGUUCCUUAAUGUUAAUUUCCUUUGGAGACUGUUGGUCAAACCUAUUUAAGAUAUCAUUAAGGUUAUAAGGAUUUACAGUCUUCUUGGCUUCUACCUUAACAACAGAUUUCUUAAAAACUUCAUAAAGAUUUUGCUUAGUCUUUUCAUCUUCAACUUUUCUUAAAGUAUCAAGGAUAAACUCCUGAUCUUGGCUUAUGAAAUUUAUAGUUUUAGGACGGCAAUUACAAUUACCUUUAAUACAUUCUGCUUGGUCACUAGAAGAUUGGCUAGAAACUCCACCACUACUGUCUAGUUGAUUAAUGUCAUCUUCAUUAUCUGAAUCAGUCCUUGAUUCAGAAUCUAUGGAGUUUAACAUUACCUUACAAAGCAUAUUUUUUAGGUUAUCUGAGACACUUAAGUUAUUAAUCUUUUGCUUAACUCUACAAUCUUUUUUAUAAUGGCUAACUUUGCCACAUUUAAAACAGAUAAUUGGCUUGACAUCUAAAGGAGUUUCUACCUUUUUCUGGGUAUCUUUGUUGACCCUUCUUUGGAAGUGUCUUGACUGCUUAGUAUUAUUCAUCCUAUAGUUGUCAUGGGUACCUCUCUUACUGUGGUAAAACUUAUCUUUGCUAGGCUUCCUACUUGGUUUUUGCUUAGAGGGAGGCAUAGUUUCUUUUUGGCUGAAACCAAACUGGCUACAGAAUGAUCCAAAUUCAUUCUUGUAGAUUUUUUGUUCAUUCUUCAUUUGUUGCUUAAGCUUGAAGUCAUUGCACAACUUAAUCCCUUCAGCUGUGACAAUGCUUAUAAUCUCACCAUACGUUAGCUUAUCAUAAGGGAUUUGACCAUUAUACUGUUCCCUUAUCUUGAUCCUAAUUCUCUCAGAGAAAAGCUUGGGUAAUCCUGAGAUGAAUUUUUCUUUCCAAAAAGACUGGUUACAAUCUGAUCUUAGCAUUACUUUGGUUAGGAAGACUUCCUUAUACCACCUAAAAUCAUGAAGUUUGGGACACUUAAGGUUGGUAAAGAGAUCUACAGUUUUAUCCUUAAUUUUUGCAGGAUCUCCAAUGAAGUGUUUGGAUAUUGAGUAGAUUAGAGUAGCCACUACAUCCUCUAUAUCUUAGUCAUCUUCGUCCUUAACAACUUCACUAUUCUCAUUAAUCCUAUAGGCUUUAAGGAUACUAUUUCUAUCAUCAAAAGUGAGAUAAUUAUCCCACCAACCCUUAAGUUGACCUGUAAACCCAGCAACAAUGGUCUGAGCUACAGCAUGAUCUGACAGUCUAUUGUUUAAUUUAUAGGCGGUACUUACCGUGGUCAUUUCUUGAAGCUUAGUGAGUAUAUUAUACUCGAUCAUACCGUCUAUGUUCCAUUCAUAGAUAGUACCACUGGUGUAUGAGGCUUGAGUAUACUGAUUUUUUUCCUCAAACUGCAUGUCAGGAAAUGUAGGUCUAGGAUAGUAAUUCCUAGUCUUAAAGGUUUCUAAAUUGUUAAUAUCUUUUGAAAUGGGUUCCUCAAACAUUUUAAUUAGUUCAUGAUAAGCAGUAUAUAUAUAUAUAUAUAUAUAUAUUCUUUUGUAAAAAAAAAUAUUAUCAUAAAGAUUGCAUCCCAUAACUUAUCAAUUUUAAUAAAAAUAUUUUAUUCGCAUUAUUUUAUAUGGUAGGACUUUCAUGAAAUUUAUACGUACAAAUUUUAAAAAGUAAUCAAUCAAUAGUUGUCGUUAAUCUUCAAUGUUGAUAGUGAGCAUCGAUGUAAUAUUCAAUAAUUAUCGCUAAUCUUUAAUGUUGAAUGUGAGUACAUACGUAACAUUCACCUCUUCUUGUUAUAAUAUUAGCAAUGGCGAUGCUACCCACCUAUAACAAAAGGGGAAGUGUACAGUCUUAUCCUUAAAUAAACAACACCAAAGAAUGAAGCUCUUCAACCGCAUAAUAUACUAAAAUUUACAUUUUGAAAAUGAAAUAAUCGUAUUUUGUGGACUAGGUGACACAUCCCAUUAAGGAGAUAGGAGAAAUCGGAAAUUAUAAAGAGAGUAUAGGUAUUUUUCAAAAAGAUUUUUUUCAAUAAAGAGAAAAAGUAUAAUUAGAAAUAAUUUUAAAAUUAUCAUAAUUAAGUAAUAAUUUUUUUUAUAAAAAAAACAAAUGCAUUUUUGUCAGAAUCGAAGGAAAAUGGGGUAAGAAAUUAAUAGCUUCGCCAAGGAGAGAAGAAAGAGGACGCAAUCAAAAGAGGCAUCCAAUGGAAGCUCCACGUGUGACGUGAUUACAUGACGGUACUGCCCUCUCCUCUACCACAUGCUUUUGUCCCGCUGUAGAUGCAGUCUGAUCGAUGGGGUAAAGAUAAAUGAAGGCUAGACUUCAUGUGACGAUUAUUUGGAAUAGCUUCUUUAACAACGAAUGGUCAUUUUCACCCUUUCAAGGGUUUUUCUGUGGAAUCCUUCCAGAGAAGCGACAACCACCACAAUUUUUUUUUUUUGGUUAUCUAUUUUUUUUAAAACAAAAAUAAUUAAUAUGUGACAACCGAUCAUACCAUAUAAUUUUUUCUUUCUCCUCCGUAAUACCUCCACCUUUUUGUUUUUUUAAUGUAUUGGUUUCAUGAGAUUUUUUUAAUUUUAAUUCUUUUUUUUUAUCUUUUUAUAUUUAUCGAUUUUAAUUAUUUAUAAAUAUUUUAAAUAUAUAAUAAAUAAUUAAUGAUAACAUAUUUAAUAUAAAAAUAAAUACAUAAUGAACAAAUCUAAAAAUUUCAAAUAAGAUUUUCUAUAUUCCUACUAAAAAAUAUUUGUUUAUUUUAUAAAUCUUAUUGCCUUAUCAUAUUAUUUUAUUGUUUGUAUUUUUUAAGAAUUUUAAAUUUUCAUAUAAAAAUGAGAGUUGAUGAUUAUAGUUUUAGCAUUUUACUUAUGGAUUUAAUUUAACCACGGUUUUAUUUUAUUUUAUUUAAUUAAAAUGUUUAAUAUGUUUAAUUAAAGAAAUAAAUACUUGGUUGUGGUUUUAACAUCUUGGUUGUGGAGUAAAUACUUUGUAUGUCCUUUCAAAGUUGCCCUAAGUACCCUCAACAAGAGAGAGAGAGAGAGAGAGAGAUGUAAUGGUAGUUUAUUUGAACAUAAAACACAUGCAUAAGUACCCUCAACAGACAAUGUACCUAAAGUUGAGGGGGGAAAAAUCACAGGAUAAAUGACUUAAAUUCUCCUUUCUAAAUUAUCUAGGAUUAAAAAUGAUUCAAUGGUUUUUCAAGCCACUUGAUUUUUGCAUAGUUUUAGUUGGUUCUAGGAUAAAGCUAGAUCAUCUUUAUGCGGCCGUAAUAACUUUGAACAUACUUUCUAGGCCAACAUCAAAUUCAAAACGUAUGAAAUCUUAAUCUUAUUUCCUAAUCCAACAUUUAUCUCUACGUACUAACAUCAAAUCUCAAACAUAUCAACUUUUGGACCCUACUGCAAACGUGACUCAUGUUCUGUUUUUUUUUUUGGUUUUUUGGACAGGUACAAAUGGCUACUCAUGGCUAGCAUUGCCUGAAGCGUCUCCAUCAUAUCAUCUACAUAUUUGAUUUAUUGGAGGAUGUCUAGCCGGCAAUGGGAUCCACCCUAUUCUUUCGUGACCAGGUUGCAUAUACCACUACAAGAUCCCACACCUCUCUUCUUGUUACACAAUGUAAUGCAGUAACAGUACCACUAUGACCUCUAAGCAUGCGAACACUGGUCUGAAUUUUCUUUUGACCAAAAGAGGAUAGAUCUUGUUUGUGAGGAGUUCCAUUCUCAUUUGCAGCUAAACAAGAGAGAGAGAGAGAGUGUGUGAGAGAUGUAAUGGUAGUUUAUUUGAACAUAAAACACAUUCAUAAGUACCCUCAACAGACAAUGUACCUAAAGUUGAGGGGAUAAAAAAACCACAGGAUAAAUGACCUAAAUUCUCCUUUCUAAAUAGUCUAGGAUUAAAAAGUUGGUUCAAAGUUUCAACAAGUAUUAGUUCUAGAAAAAAUUAUAAUAAUUUGGUUUUUUGAAAUUAUUAUAAUAAUUUGGUUUAGGUUUCUCCCUUCACACAACCCCCCCUCCGCCUAACCAUCCAAUACUACCAUUUUUAUGGAUCAUUGUCUGUGUUUCUUCUCCCAUUGUCCUACAUCUUAUGUGGCAACCCUUAUCUUGGGUUAACCCUAAUCCUACCAUUGCCAUGUCAUGUCCAACGUGGCCGAGCCGCCACCGGGAUUUUCAGGUUUCUGGCAGCCCAGACAUGUAGUGACAUUUGGGGCCUCUCUUGUGGGUCUUGAUCAAGAAUAUUGGAUAAAGGUCGUGUAGGAAAUGAGCACCGGCACCUAGUCAUCAGAGGAUAAGAGCUUUGGAUAUUAAAUUGAGGUUUUUGAAUGGAACAGUAAGGAGAAGACUAGUAGCUGAACGUAUGUGUGAUGAUGAUGAAAAAUGGAUUUUUCUUAAAGACAGAAAUUGAAAAAUGGAUUUUUUUUUUUUUUUUGGGAACUAAAGAAUUUUAGUAAUUGUAAGCUUAAAUUGUUAGGAUCCGAACCUAUGACUUGUAUCGACUAAUGGUGGGAAGUAAUUAGAGACAAGAAAUAGUUAACAACGUGAGAAAAGAAAAAACUAAGAAAAGUUAAAAAUAAAAUUUGUAUUCCUAUAAACAACCCAUAGCUAUUAAUCAAAAUUAGUACCAAACAAGACUUUACUUUGAAGGGAAAUGGGAAUGAAUCCAUUUCCCAUCUUUUGUCAUUUUCAUUCAUUUUUUCUUUACCCACCAAUAACCAACUUCCAAAUUAGGCACUUGAUUCCCAACCAUCACUACCAUCAAACGAUGUAUUCACGUCGAGGUUUAGGUUUAAUUUGGUUUUGUUUGUCCCUUUUCCUUUGGUUUUUUUUUGUUUUUUUCUUAAGUUUCAGAUGGAAAUCAUAAAUCAAAAUGAUUCAAUGGUUUUUCAAGCCACUUGAUUUUUGCAUAGUUUUAGUUGGUUCUAGAUCAUCUUUAUGCGGCCGUAAUAACUUUGAACAUACUUUCUAGGCCAACAUCAAAUUCAAAACAUAUGGAAUCUUUAUCUUACUUCUUAAUCCAUCAUUUAUCUCUACGUACUAACAUCAAAUCUCAAACAUAUCAACUCUUGGACCCUAUUGCAAACGUGAAUCAUGUUUUGUUCUUUUUUUUUGGUUUUUUGGACAUGUACAAAUGGCUACUCAUGGCCAGCAUUGCCUGAAGCGUCUCAAUCAUAUCAUCUACAUAUUUGAUUUAUUGGAGGAUGCCUAGCCGGCAAUGGGAUCCACCCUAUUCUUUCGUGACCAGGUUGCAUGUACCACUACAAACGGAUGAUGAUAAGGAAAAAGGUGGGCAGAUCUACAUACAAAGUAGAAAACGGGUUGAUCAUUUUAUAUCAGGAAUUUAUAUAUAUAUAUAUAUAUAUAUAUGUAGUUUUAUGAUUUUUUUAUAAAAUAUUUACAAAAAUUAAUAAUUGUAAAAGUAUUUUCAAUUAUAUGACAAAUAUUUUGAUCUAUGUCAUGAUUGAAACAUUAUUUUUUUUAUGAUAAUUUAUAUGGUAUUAAAUAGAAAAUAGUCUCUUACGUAGAUGAUUUAAUUAUACAUUUAUGUAUUUAAGUUAAAAUAUUUGUCUAAAAGAUGGCUUAAUGAUUGAAAAGUGUUGCAUCUAUUUUAAAAAUUAUUAUAUUUUAUAAAUUAAUUUCUAAAACCUAAAUUAAUUUAAUUAUUCAAUUUUGAAUUACAAUAUAUGUAUAAGAUAAAUUUAAAUUUAAAUUUUACGCCCCUUUAUAAUUUUAUUUAAUUUUUUAAUUAUAAUCAUAAUAUUUAGUGGGUGUUUGAUAAAUCAAUUUAAUAACUUAAAAGUGAUUUAAUAACUUAAUUUAAACCAUUAUAUAUAUUAAGUAUGUUUGAUAAACUAACUUAAUGAUGUAACUCAAAGUUAUUUUUUUUGAAGUAAAAAAUAAUUAACUUGUUUUUAAGUUAACAUCUUCAUUUUUAUUUUUUAUUUUUUAUUUUUUAUUUUUUAUCUUUACUUGUUCUAAUUAUCUUAACGAUCUCCUUUACUACUUUAUGACCUCCUCUAUUCAUUUGUCUUAAUUAUAAUUUAUGAAAAUAAGCAUAUCAAUUUAAUAAUUUAAAAUAAAAUUUAAGUUAAUUUUAUCAAACAAUCUAAAUACUUAAAGUAAAAAUUAAAUAAUAAGUUUUAAAUCAAUCACUUUAGUAGAAUUGAGUAUUAAAGUUAUUAAAUAAUGAGUAUUAAAUUUUACCAAAUAGCCUUUAGAGGCUAUCAAUAAUUAGUAACCCUACGGAUCGGGUGCUAGUUUCCAAUAGCAUGUGCUAUGUUUGAGCUGUUAUAAGAUGGUCCAAAAAAAGCCGCAAGAACUUUAGGAUAGGAAUAAGUGAUAGUAGAAGGCCACCAUAUGCAUAGUGCCAUAUGAUUGUGAAAUAGGCAUGUAACACAUGUUGAAUGAAUUAUUCUUGUUUUAACUUUUUGAAAAUGAUAGCAUAUUUACAAGUGUGCGAGAUUCAAUGAAUUCAAUUGUGAAUAUUAAAAUCUACUCGAAGUAGUUUAAUCAAUUUGGAUGCAACAAAAACUAAAUACCUAAUUUUUUUAAUAAAAUAAUUUUUUAAAUUAAAAAUAUUUUCUAAAAUUACUUUUGGAUUCCUAAACUCUUAAUUUUAAACGUGCUUUUUUGUUCAACACCAAAUCUGAACCGUAUGGAAUCCCAGACCUCCUUCUUGAUCAAAUGCCAAAUUCCGAGUCAAUACAAACUUGGACAUGUUGCCGUAAAAAACAGAAAAUUUCAAACAUGGCAUCUCUCCGACCCGACGUUUGGAGCCCUCAUUUUCAAAUAAGCCGGAGCUGUAAUCAUUGUCAACGGAAAAAACAAUUUGGCUUCUUGAGGGUUGAGACACAAAUGAGUCAUGACUGGCAUUGGAUGAAUCAUCUCAAUAAAUGAUAUAUAUCACAUAUUUGAUUUUAUUGGAGGGUGGGAUGCCACCCGUCCUUUGCUGACCCUGUUGUAUGUGCCACUAGAAUAGAUAAACGUCUGCAGACAAGGGAGAAAAUAGUGUCAAAUGGACCCAGACCUCUUAUUAGCCACACGUUAGGAAUUUUUUUAAUAUAAAUGUGUAGUUUUAUGAAAUUUUUAAAAACUAUGUACAAAAAUUUGAUAAUUAUUGAAGUAUUUUGAAUUAUAUGAUAAGCAUUUUCAAUCAUUUCAUGCUUGAAACAUUAUUUUUAGAUUUAUGAUAAUAUGUGAGAUAUUGGUAGAAAGUUAUCUAUUAAAUAGAUCGUUUAAAUAUAAAUUUAUGUAUUUAAAUUUGAAAUGGUCUUUUAAAUUUUUUUCUUUUAAAAUUUGUAUUUUUAUCAAAAACCUCUAUUUUUAUUUUAUUUUUUGAAAGUAUACAAUAAAAGGUUAUAAAAGAGUUGGAAAGACGUAUUUUGUUUAUCUCUACCUUAUUCAUAAAAGAGAUGGUUUUUCGAUUCUUUAAUACCUAAAAUGAGUAUGGAGAAGCCAAAAUUAUUUAUGAAUAAUUGAAGUUACUCUUUAUUAAACUUCUCUAUAAUUUACAAUUUUUCCAAUAAGAAAAUCAAUGAUCUUUCAAGACAUGGUUAGAGGCGUUUAUAGCAUGUUUGUAAGCUCUUAUAACAAACUUUUCUCACUUUUUAGUCUUAUUACGUAUGAUGUCAAAGAUAAUUAACUUCUUCUUUUUUAACGUCAGGUAGCUACGAGAAGUGGUUAAUUCUAGAGGUCAUCUCUUGUGAAGGACCUUACUCAUAGAAGGGGUGAUUUUUAGUAUCUUUAAGGUUGUGUGUCAUUUAACUAUAAAAACUCUUCAAAAACUUCCAACUUUAAAACAGACUCGUGUUGUUCGUUAAAGAUUAGAUAUUUUAGUUAAAUUGGGUCAUCAGUACUACUACCUCUUUUUUUGAAAUAGCCUUGAAGUUGGAUGGUUAAAGGGUAAUGCUAAUUUGGGAGUGUUUUUGUUUUUUUAUUUGUUUCAGUCAGUGAUGAAUUGACUAUAUUUAAUUUUUUUUAACUUUUCUUUUAAUUGUUUAAAUUAAUGAGAGAAUUUAUUAUUGUUUUCUUCUACCGUUACUUUUGGUUUAGAGAUAUAAAUUUUCCUUAAAUUUAUUUGAAAAUUAUAUCAUGUCAUUUUCAAUUUAUUAUUUCUUUUCAUACUAUCAUUAUUUUUAGUUUUAGUAAAUAAAAUUAUUUUUUUUAAAUAAAUAAAUAAAUAAGCCUCAAGUGGGUCUCGAACGUAUGAUUUGGAUGUUUUGUUUGCUCCUUGGACUCAUGUGUGGGGUGACAAUGGAUUUUGUCCAUGGGGUUGAUAUUGUACUGACAUAAGAAAUAUUAACAUGAACAUUAGUCAUUUAAUAAUCAUGACAAAAUAUAUGUAACAUGACUCAUUUAUUACAACAUACUAUUUAACUGAUUUAAUAAAUAUGUUAGGUUGAUGCGCACAGGCCUCCUUUUGUGGCUGCUCGAGGCUUGAGCCCGUAAACCAUUUGUAUAAAUCUUGUUCCUUUCUUUUGCAAGGAAAAGAAGACUCCCAAAAAAAAUAGAGAAAGCCUAAAUGCCCAAGAAAUAUUUUAAUAGAAGAAAUAAGUCUUAUAUAAUUUUGCACUGCCACUUAUUAAAACUAGUACUUCAAACUCUUUAUGAAAUAUGUCAUACAUGCACGUGCUAACAUUUUGAACACCAUCCCAUUACAAAGCCCCUUAUACAAAAUACAAUAUAAAGGUAGGAAUUUUAAGCAAGUAAUCGAUAAGUUGGCGUGGCUAACAGGUGAUCAACCCUCGGCAUUGUCAAACCAAAUUUCUCUUUCAUGUUCAAUUCACUUGGUGGUGUGUCAUUUGGUAACUUCCAAUUAAAACAAUGCACCAAUUGAGAUACUACGAGUUGAACAGUUAUUAGACCCAAUUGAAUUCCAGGGCACCCUCGACGACCUGAUCCAAAUGGAGUAAGUUCAAAAUCAUGCCCUUGAAGGUCAAUAUUGUUUUCAACGAACCUCUCAGGAAAGAAUUCUUCAACAUUGUUAGACCAAACAUUAGGGUCUCUUCCAAUUGUCCACGUAUUUAUCAGAAUUCUUGACUUCUUAGGUAUGUAAUGUCCAUUAAUUACAAUAUCUUCUAUAGACUCACGUGGAACUAGAAAUGGUCCAAUAGGAUGCAGCCUUAAGGUUUCUUUCACCACCAUAUUCAAGUAGCCCAAAUUUUCCAAGUCAGAUUCUUCCACCAUUCGACACAUGCCAACUACAUUCUUUAACUCUUCUUGAAGUCGUCUCAUCACCCUUGGAUGCCUUAGUAGUUCGGAGAUAACCCACUCAAUUGAAGUAAUUGAAGAAUCAAUUCCACCCACAAGUAUAUCUAAGAUGAUUGCUUUGGCAUUCUGUCGAUCAAUAGCAUAUAACGGAUCAUCCUCAAAAUUGUUUGAUUUAUUCAUUAGUGAUAGCACGACAUCAAUGAAAUUCAUAUGAUUUACUUCAUCUUUGCUAACAUCUUGUAUAUGCUUGUCAAUGAUCUUAUCCAAGACUUCAUCUAUGGCCUCAUUAUUUGUGCGAAGGAGUUGAGUCAAUCCCUGAAAAUGAAAAAUGCUUACAAAUGAUGAGUUUAUUGGAUCAUUUCAAUUAUUGAAAGUAAAAGUUAGAUUCAAAUCAAUUGCUUGAUAAAUGUUUUCUUAGAAGCUAGCUAACACGCUAAUAUAUAUUGCAUAUUCUCUUAUACAAAACAUUUAUUAGGAUAAAUUUAUAGAAAUUCCAUGAAGCAUUCAAAAGCAAACAAAAAGAAAAAAGAAAAAGCAAGCUAAUACUCCAGAAGAAAAUUAGUAUUAUUUGAAAAUUAUUAAAGAAUUAAUGUGUUUAUAAUUUAGUAACUUUUAAUUAUUUAUUUCAUUAAUAAUAUUUAUUAUUAAUAUAUUUAAAAUUUAUAAAUGCAAAAUAUUAUAUUAUUUUAUUAAAUAUAUAAAAAUAUUUUGUAUAUAUUAAAUAAUAAAUAUAUUAGUAUUUUUUUUUUCUUUUUGCAUUUAACAAAUUAUAUUUUUUUUCAUUUUGAAAAAUGAGUAAUACAAAAAAAUUAAAAACGUUUUUGUUCAAGCUUCACUCGUUGUCUACAAAUGGAGGCUUCACUACCCAUAAGAGCCAUCCAGGGAAACAUAGAUUCAAGGCUAGAAAUAUCGAAAAAAAACUGGAAUAUGGAACUCUUUCUCUAUUUGGCUUCUUGACUUCUUUUAUGCGAGGAGUUAUUUCCCUCACUCAUGAUAAAGCAAAUAUAUUACCUAUUUUUAAAGAGAAUUUAGUUAAACUAACAUAUUAUUUGAUUAUAAUUAUUGAUUUUAUAAAGUGUUUUUAGUAUUUUAAACAUUUAAAAUUUUUUAUUUUUCUAGUAUUAAAAACAUUAGAAAUACUUCAUAAAAUUAUUAAUAAACAUACUUUAAAAAUAUGUUUCUCAGUAUUCUUUAAAAAAUAUUUUUAAUGAAAGUGUUUUAUCUAGAAGUAUUAUGAAAAAAGUCAUGUACUAAUAAUCUAUUUGAUAGGGAUUUUAGGAAGCACUUCUAAUAUUUUUAAUACCUGAAAAAUUUUAUCAUUCAAAUAUUAAAAAUGUUAGAAACAUUUUCUAGAAUAAGUAUUUCUAUAGAAAACACUAUAAAUGAAUUUCCAGCAUUAUAAAUGAUUUUUAGAUUUUUAAAAGUAUUUUCUAAAUUUUACCAUACAUCUAAUUUUUAUUUUUUAAAAAACACUUCUUAAACUAAAAACUCUUUCUAAAAUUACUACCAAACAAACUCUCAUUAUCAUCAUCUAUUAAAUCUAUCUAUCUAUCUAUAUUGAAAUCUAACCUUUGAUAUCUCAUAUUUAAUAUAUCUUAUGACAUAAAAAGGAAUGACCUUUUAUUUAUGUUACCUCACUUCUUAAAUAAAUAAAUAGAUGUAGAGGCAUUUUAAUAGGUAUGGAUGACAUAUAAAUUAUAAUAAGCUAUAAGAAAAUAGCAUCAAUGUACCUGAAGGUCAAGAGGGCCAAGGAAUGGCACAUAGUCUGCAAGAUUAAAAGUUCCUGCCAAUCUAGUGGCCUCUCGAAUUAGUGUUUUCAAGUCAAAAAUCCGGUCCUUGUUAUGUCCAAAAACCAUUCGAUACGCCAUAUCUUCGACGACCCCAGCAACCUUUGCGCUGAUAUCCACCACCUCUCCAGCACUCGCCAUUUCCUUAACUGACUUCACUAACAACCCCACCUCCGCCUUCCUCACUGAGGCAAAGGAAUUGAUUUUUGCACUGCUAAAAAGAUGCAAUGCACACAAUUUUCUCACAUGCCGCCAGUACGGACCAUACUCCGUAAAUGCAAUGCCCUUAGCCCCGUAGCUCAGGUAUUCAUAGGCCUGGAGUUUUGGACGGCUAGCAAACACAACAUCAUGGGUUUUCAUGACUAGCUUGGCGGCUUCAGGCGACGACACUACGAUAGUUGGAACACACCCCAGUCGCAUAAACAUGAUGGGCCCAUACUUCUUGGCCAAGCGGCUAAGGUUUCGGUGAGGCAGGCUCCCCAACAUGUAGAGGCUACCAAUAAUUGGUAAACCCCAAGGCCCCGGUGGCAGUUUCCUGUAGCCUGCUCGGAGUUUUAGGUGUGAUAAAGUGACCCACAUGGCUCCAAGGAUGACUAGGAGAAUAGCAACGGUGAAAAGAGCCAUUGGUACUGAUAAUGGGAAAGUAGAGUUUGAGAUA
rnacentral:lncRNA from 1 species